rnacentral:lncRNA from 10 species
GUGGAGUCUCGCACUGUCAUCCUGGCUGGAAUGCAGUGGUGCAAGCCGACUCACUGCAACCUCUGCCUCUUGGGUUCAAGUGAUUCUCCUGCUUCAGCCUCCUGAUUUGCUGGGAUUGCAGAGCAAACCAGUGAAAAAAUGGCCUUCGCACUCCUGAGAGACCUUUCACCGGGCUUUCUACUUUUGAAUUCUCUCCAUAGCUGGUUUCCUCUUAGGCCUCGAUAGAGCAGUCCCUGAAUCACACAGGUAUGCUGACUACGUCUUUUCCUGGUACAAACCAUCAUGGGGGAAACACACAGCAAGAAGCAUCUUCAGGUCACAAGAUAGGCCUUCUAAGACUGAAUUACAUCACCAGCUUUCCUGGGUCUCCAGCUUGCAGAUGGCACACUGUGGGACUUCUUAGCCUGCAGAAUCAUUGAAGCACCCAUUGAUUGCCCCUUACUCUAGGGAUUUACAGCUUUGUGCUUGUCGUGGCCACUGCUCCCAAAGUGACUAUAAUCCGGAGGAUCCCCACGACCCUUCAGAGCAGGCAAGACACCAGCACCAGAAACUCUGAAAACCUAAAAGUCAAGAACAAUGCUUUUGCAUUUUCCUGUCCCUUCUAAAAUUUCAUUUUUAAGUGGUGAGAUCUCUUUAAGAAGAGGUUUCAAAAAUAAUGUAAAAAGUAUUGCUUGCAAGAUUUGAAAAUAAGCCAAUUCAACAAAUCCAAAAUAAAAAGCU